rnacentral:rRNA from 1 species
CGGCCUUCGGGUUGUAAACCUCUUUCGACAGGGACGAAGCUUUUUGUGACGGUACCUGUAUAAGAAGCACCGGCUAACUACGUGCCAGCAGCCGCGGUAAUACGUAGGGUGCGAGCGUUGUCCGGAAUUACUGGGCGUAAAGAGCUCGUAGGUGGUUUGUCGCGUCGUCUGUGAAAUUCCGGGGCUUAACUCCGGGCGUGCAGGCGAUACGGGCAUAACUUGAGUGCUGUAGGGGAGACUGGAAUUCCUGGUGUAGCGGUGGAAUGCGCAGAUAUCAGGAGGAACACCGAUGGCGAAGGCAGGUCUCUGGGCAGUAACUGACGCUGAGGAGCGAAAGCAUGGGGAGCGAACAGGAUUAGAUACCCUGGUAGUCCAUGCCGUAAACGGUGGGCGCUAGGUGUGAGGGUCUUCCACGACUUUCGUGCCGUAGCUAACGCAUUAAGCGCCCCGCCUGGGGAGUACGGCCGCAAGGCUAAAACUCAAAGGAAUUGACGGGGGCCCGCACAAGCGGCGGAGCAUGUGGAUUAAUUCGAUGCAACGCGAAGAACCUUACCUGGGCUUGACAUAUACAAGAUCGGCGUAGAGAUACGUUUUCCCUUGUGGUUUGUAUACAGGUGGUGCAUGGUUGUCGUCAGCUCGUGUCGUGAGAUGUUGGGUUAAGUCCCGCAACGAGCGCAACCCUUGUCUUAUGUUGCCAGCACGUGAUGGUGGGGACUCAUGAGAGACUGCCGGGGUUAACUCGGAGGAAGGUGGGGAUGACGUCAAAUCAUCAUGCCCCUUAUGUCCAGGGCUUCACACAUGCUACAAAGGUCGGUACAACGCGUCACGAGCCUGUGAGGGUGAGCGAUACGCUGAAAGCCGGCCUCAGUUCGGAUUGGGGUCUGCAACUCGACCCCAUGAAGUCGGAGUCGCUAGUAAUCGCAGAUCACUUACACUGCGGGGAAAACGUUCCAGGGCCUGGUACACACCGCCCGUCACGUCAUGAAAGUUGGUAACACCCGAAGCCCAUGUAACAACCAGUUUCUGCGGGAGUGUUGAAU